UUCCCAACUGGGGUAUCUGUGUCCCUCUCCCCUAUUUGGUCUUGAAAGAUAUAAGACGACCACUCCCUGUGGAUGACGGCGUACCCUCUAACGAGAGUGGUGACAUGAAUAUCUAUUAGCACCUUUGGCUAAGUACUAUUGUGACUGUAGAUAUGUGAUAAGAGCACUAUGGUUGAUAUGACUAUGGUCGCAAAUCGUACCAUGGUUUGGCCAGCCAGAAUUGUGUCUGAGCAAAUUAUUGUUAUCUGUAUCUGAUAUAGUCAUUCCACAUGGGUAGUUGGAAAUCUAUAUAUGCAUUCAUAGAUAGAAUUUGUAACGACUUCGUGAAG
rnacentral:lncRNA from 1 species